rnacentral:rRNA from 1 species
UACGUAGGAUCCGAGCGUUAUCCGGAUUUAUUGGGUUUAAAGGGUGCGCAGGCGGGAGAUUAAGUCGGCGGUGAAAUUUUGCAGCUCAACUGUAAAAGUGCCUUCGAAACUGGUUUCCUUGAGUGUAGAUGAAGUAGGCGGAAUUUGUGGUGUAGCGGUGAAAUGCUUAGAUAUGACGCAGAACUCCGAUUGCGAAGGCAGCUUACUGGGAUGCAACUGACGCUGAGGCACGAAAGCGUGGGUAUCAAACAGGAUUAGAUACCCUGGUA